rnacentral:misc_RNA from 1 species
UCUCCGUUGGUGAACCAGCGGAGGGAUCAUUACCGAGUUUUUACUCACCAACCAUUUGUGAACAUACCUUUUGUUGCUUCGGCGGAAUCGUCCCGGUGCCUUCGGGCCCGGAUCCACGGCGCCCGCCGGAGGCCUUAAACUCUUGUUUUUAUGUGAUUCUCUGAGUCUUUUACAAAUAAAUCAAAACUUUCAACAACGGAGCUCUUGGUUCUGGCAUCGAUGAAGAACGCAGC